rnacentral:lncRNA from 1 species
CGUAGUUUCUUCCCAGACCUGAUCUUGCUGAAAUAGAAAUUCCACUCUCCGUGUCCUACAUUGCCACCGAGGUGCAAGGCACAAAGUCCUGCCUUGUUUCCUCAAGGGGAGACAGGCCAAAAAGCGUCUUGCUUCCAGCUCUUUGUGAAGCUAAGAAACAACUCGCUCUCCUCAAUGCUCUUAGAGCCUACCGGGAACAUCUCUUACAAAUGACUUUGAAACGCAGUUUCUUCUCAGCCCUGAUUUCGCUGAAGUAGAACUUCUGCUCUGCCGUGUAAUACAUUUGCCUAGAGGUGGAAGUCACAAUGGCCUGCCUGACUUCCUUAAGAGGAGACAGGCCACAGACCGCCUCGCCUCCAGCUCUUUGGCAAGGUGAGAAAGGACUCGCUUUCCACAGCGCUCUUACAGCCUACCAGGAAACUCUCAUACAAAGGCCUGAAAUGCAGUUUGUUUGCAGCCAUGAUGUCAGCGCCUUGGAACUUCUGCUCUAAGCCAUGUCCCACAUUGCUCUAGAGGUGGAAGACACAAAGCACUGAGUCAUUGCCACCACAGGAGACAAGCCACAAACGGUCUUGCUUCCAGCUCUUUGGGAAGCUAAGAAACAACUCACUCUCCACAGUACUCUUACAGUCUACUGGGAACAUCUCUCACAAAGGCCUGUGAAACGCAGUUUCUUACCAGCCCUGAUCUCGCUGAAGUAGAACUUCUGCUCUGCCAAGUUCCACAUUGAUCUAGAUUUGGAGGUGACAAAGCUAUGAGUCAUUGACUCCAAAGGAGACAAGCAACAAACGGAUUUGAUUUCAGAUCUCAAAAGUUAAGAAACAACUGGCUCACCAUAGUGCUGUUACAGCUACUGGGAACAUCUCUCACAAAGAUCUGUAAAAUGCAGUUUCUUCCCAGCCCUGAUCUCGCUGAAGUAGAACUUCAGCUCUGCCGUGUCCUACAUUGCCCUAGAGGUGGAAGUCUCAGUGGCCUGCCUGUCUUCCUUAAGAGGAGAC